rnacentral:rRNA from 1 species
GACGAACGCUGGCGGCGUGCUUAACACAUGCAAGUCGAACGGUAAGGCUCCAGCUUGCUGGGGUACACGAGUGGCGAACGGGUGAGUAACACGUGGGUGACCUGCCCUGCACUUCGGGAUAAGCCUGGGAAACUGGGUCUAAUACCGGAUAGGACCAUGGUGUGGAUACUGUGGUGGAAAGUUUUUUCGGUGUGGGAUGGGCCCGCGGCCUAUCAGCUUGUUGGUGGGGUAAUGGCCUACCAAGGCGGCGACGGGUAGCCGGCCUGAGAGGGUGGACGGCCACAUUGGGACUGAGACACGGCCCAGACUCCUACGGGAGGCAGCAGUGGGGAAUAUUGCACAAUGGGCGGAAGCCUGAUGCAGCGACGCCGCGUGGGGGAUGACGGCCUUCGGGUUGUAAACUCCUUUCACCAUCGACGAAGGGUUUCUGACGGUAGAUGGAGAAGAGGCACCGGCUAACUACGUG